GCACUAAGAAAAGAAGCGGAACUAUUAGCCUUACGUGAGGCAAAAGAAAAAGACAAGCUUGAAAAUGCCUUGACAGAUCAGGCAAAUCAAUACCAGGAAUUUACUUGGGAAGAAAUUGUAUCUUCCACCUCUUCAUUUGCUGAAAAUCUUAAAAUUGGUACAGGCGCAUAUGGAACCGUUUAUAAGUGCAGCUUGCGUCAUACUACAGUCGCUGUCAAAGUUCUUCACUCCAAGGGAUCUGACCUGACGAAGCAUCAGUACCAGGAAUUUACUUGGGAAGAAAUCGUAUCUUCCACCUUUUCAUUUGCUGAAAAUCUUAAAAUUGGUAUGGGCGCAUAUGGAACCGUUUAUAAGUGCAGCUUGCGCCAUACUA
rnacentral:lncRNA from 1 species